GUAUGUACUGGCUUCGCUGAUUCCUCCCUUCUGAAGAACUGUAAUGCCAUUAAUUUGGUGUUGCAGGGAAACAGGACUGUUACUUUGAAAAAAUUAGAGUGUUUAAAGCAGGCUAACGCUUGAAUACAUUAGCAUGGAAUAAUGAAAUAGGACGUUUGAUCCUAUUUUGUUGGUUUCUAGGAUUGACGUAAUGAUUAAUAGGGAUAGUUGGGGGCAUUAGUAUUCAAUUGUCAGAGGUGAAAUUCUUGGAUUUAUUGAAGACUAACUACUGCGAAAGCAUUUGCCAAGGAUGUUUUCAUUAAUCAAGAACGAAAGUUAGGGGAUCGAAGACGAUCAGAUACCGUCGUAGUCUUAACCAUAAACUAUGCCGACUAAGGAUCGGAUGAUGUUAAUUUUUUAAUGACUCAUUCGGCGCCUUACG
rnacentral:rRNA from 1 species